rnacentral:rRNA from 1 species
UGAGGAACAUGACCUUCGGCGGGGGAUAGCCGGCCCAACGGCCGGGUAAUACCGCGUACGACCUUCCAGGGACAUCCCUGGAUGGUGAAAGCAGCAAUGCGCCGAUGGAGUGCCUCGCGGCCUAUCAGCUAGUUGGUGAGGUAACGGCUCACCAAGGCGACGACGGGUAGCUGGUCUGAGAGGAUGGCCAGCCACAUUGGGACUGAGACACGGCCCAGACUCCUAGGGAGG